ACCGCCCCCUUUCUUCAUGCCUAACACAUGCAAGUCGAACGAGACCUUCGGGUCUAGUGGCGCACGGGUGCGUAACGCGUGGGAACCUGCCCUUAGGUUCGGAAUAACUCCCCGAAAGGGGUGCUAAUACCGGAUAAUGUCUUCGGACCAAAGAUUUAUCGCCUUUGGAUGGGCCCGCGUUGGAUUAGCUAGUUGGUAGGGUAAAAGCCUACCAAGGCGACGAUCCAUAGCUGGUCUGAGAGGAUGAUCAGCCACACUGGGACUGAGACACGGCCCAGACUCCUACGGGAGGCAGCAGUGGGGAAUAUUGGACAAUGGGCGAAAGCCUGAUCCAGCAAUGCCGCGUGAGUGAUGAAGGCCUUAGGGUUGUAAAGCUCUUUUACCCGGGAUGAUAAUGACAGUACCGGGAGAAUAAGCUCCGGCUAACUCCGUG
rnacentral:rRNA from 1 species